rnacentral:rRNA from 1 species
UCAGAAACUUAAAGGAAUUGACGGGGCCCGCACAAGCGGAGGAGCAUGUGGUUUAAUUUCGAUGAUACGCGAGGAACCUUACCUGGGCUCGAACGUAAGAUGACUGUAGGUGAAAGCUUACAUCUCUUCGGAGCAUUUUACGAGGUGCUGCAUGGUUGUCGUCAGCUCGUGCCGUGAGGUGUCGGGUUAAGUCCCAUAACGAGCGCAACCCCUACCUUUAGUUGCCAUCAGGUUAAGCUGGGGACUCUAAAGGAACUGCCUACGCAAGUAGUGAGGAAGCGGGGAUGACGUCAAAUCAGCACGGCCCUUACGUCCAGGGCUACACACGUGCUACAAUGGCCGAUACAGAGGGCAGCUACCUGGUGACAGGAUGCAAAUCUCCAAAGUCGGUCUCAGUUCGGAUCGGAGUCUGCAACCCGACUCCGUGAAGUUGGAAUCGCUAGUAAUCGUGGAUCAGCAUGCCACGGUGAAUACGUUCCCGGGCCUU